CUGAUUACACUCAUUCGAACAUUUUUUACGUUAAAUAUCAUUUUAUAAUUUUUCGGUACAGUGAGAGAUAGGACAGAUAGUAUAUAAAUACGGAGAUCCCAUGAAUGUCGUCACUUUUUUGGGGUGACAGAGGUGCUUUGGAGAAUACGGUAAUGCGAUUGAAAACAGAUUCCGUUAACUGAAAUAUAGAGCUAUGUUUCAAUGUACUAUCGCGCUAUGAACGUACACAUUUAUUUUUUUUUAAUAAAGAAUUCUAGAUUGAGUUUAAAUAAGGCGCCGUACUUAAAUUAUGUAACGCUCUACGGGCUGGGGUCAAACAUGGUCGUUUUAGCGUUACGUAAUAAAUAAAUGCUGCCUCUUACGAAGGUAAUAUGAUGGGAAAACAUCCUUUUGCAUAUAAAACAAACCAAAUGAUCCAUAAACAAAUGCGCAACGAUCCAUAAAAAAUAUCAUUCAUGGGGUCUUGUAAGCAAUUUUAUUGCUCUUUUCGCAUAAUGUAUGGAUCGUAUUGCACUUUUGUAUGGAUCAUUACUGCUUUUUUAGGGAUUUUCAGUUCAAUUCUGUGGAACAUGCAAAUAUAUGUUAUGGAUCGUUUCGUAUUUGUUUAAGGAUCGUUUUUGUGGUUUUACUGGUACAAAAAAAGUGCUGCCUAAUAUGAUCGAUUCUGUCCUCUUCAAAUUGAAGAGGCAAGUUCUUGUUAUUUUUCUUGUGAAAAUAUCUUAAAUUGAUAAUCUGAAAUUUAACGGCAUAUUCAUAAAAUGAAAUAAAAAAACUCAUGUAAGCAUAAAUUCAACUCUUCCUCUGAUUUUUUUCAUCAUUCAUUACGAUUGCAAUUAAACCAAUUUAGCGCGAUGCUGCAAUGAACUCAAAAGUUGUCAAACCACUGCAUCUGGACAAUACAAAGUUUACCGGAACAGCUAGUAUUGAAAAAAGAUACACAUUUUUUUUCAAAAUAAUCAAGAACGUGUUGAAAAAUAGUGCCGCAGCCAUAACCUGAGUCAUAACUGCAUAGAUUCGAAAAAUCUAACCAGGUGUUUAAUUUUUAACUGAUGCUGACAUUCAUAGUUCGCCAGCAAGUUUCAGCUCGAUUACUUAACUGAAAAUAAAGUGACAUUAUGUCAAAGACGUCAAAGUUGACCGUUCCGUGUAAAACUUAUCUUUUUCUGUUAUAUUUCUGAUAUCUUCACCAUUCAAAAUUUGUAUACAAUAACCCUUGUUUUGGAUAGCCUUUUUUACUCAAUAAUAAGCAUGAAUAAUGAUGUUUUACUCUCUGAAUGGAAAAUAAAAUGAUAUUGAAACCGACUCGAUUGAAACAAAUAAACAAACAAACAAACAAACGAACGCAAACGAACAAAACCCACGGCGUCUAAACAGCUGACGCCACACCUGCGGAUGAUGAGUAUUUUUAAUUGCUUUUGACAACACUGUCCACACGCGCUCGGAUGCGGUCGGGUGGUGGUUUCAAUUCUGUGCUUUUUUUAUUGGCAUAAAAUCAACCAAUCAGCAGCUGGUCCGUUUUGGCCCCAUAUCGAGCUACGGUAUUGACCGGUCUCGUUUCAGGGGUAACCCGAAAACCCAGAUUUCUUGAAUCUGGGUACAGAUCUGGGUAAUUGGCACUUUGUCACUUUCCGGCUUGAGAAUAUGGCAGCGGUCAGGAGAACGCUGGAAAUUAUGGAUGUUUCGACGACAAAUAUGAGGAUAAAUGACGGAAAAACAGUGAAAAUCUUCUGGAGAACUGUUUUCCUGCAUCAGGUAAGUAAACAGCACAUGGGAAUUGGGAACUUUUUAUAAAAAAUCUAAAUUUGAAAUAAAUUAACAAAAUCAAGGCCUCGGAGGAGCUGGGUACCGUGUAGUGCAUAAAUUAGUUGAGUUGCAUAUUGCCAACAGAUGUGGCACAGCAACAAUAAUUCCCAUCGUCAAGGUCUUGCCACGUGGGCAAAAGCACCCAAGUGCAAUAGCCCAUGCUGCAACCGCCAACGAUGCUCUUUUCCCAAGCUCAAUAUUCCCAGGCUAAAUGAUUCUCAAAUUUCACUUAUCGACGGGUUGUCAACUGCAAUAUAAUUUUAACGCAUACCGAUGUUACCAUGCGCCUCCUAUUUACCGAUUCUCUCAUUCUAUCGAUUUGUCUCUGUGAAACCAAUUAUGUAGCUUAGAAUUAAGGCUCAAUAGAUUUCUUAGACUUGAAUAAAAUACAUUCGUAUCGCAACCACGGAGUUGAACACUUCGGAUGACCUCCUCGAUAACAUAGUUAGUACAUGGCUGACCGUGCAGGCUCAGUCCGCGAACGUUGGAAACUUCAGUUAAAGUUUGAAAAAGUGUUUGAGUGAUUUCAAGACGAAGGAAGAACCGUAAAUAUCGCCCGAGUUCUAUUAUGAAGUGAAAGUGUAUUGAAACAUGGGGAAUCAAAAAUCCUCUCCAAAAGUUUCCCAAGAAGGAGAUCAUGAUCUAACGAUCAAUAAUACACAAGAAGUGCAUACACACUUCUUUCUUAGCCAUGAGCUAAAGCUGAACAUUAUUAUUGGACUCCUGAUUCUUCAAUUAGUGCUAGCCCUCUACAAAAUGCUAGUUAAACGUGAGAAGAGGCGUGCCACAAGAAUCGCGGCGAAAUCACUCGCCAACCUAAACGAAGUGAGCACGCAAUAGACACUCAAGUGAGCACGAAGAAAUUUAAGUUCCU